UACAGUUGCAUCGUUGCUGUAGUUGCAAA
rnacentral:piRNA from 1 species